rnacentral:rRNA from 1 species
CCUACGGGGGGCUGCAGUAGGGAAUUUUCGGCAAUGGGCGAAAGCCUGACCGAGCAAUGCCGCGUGAAUGAUGAAGAUCUUCGGAUUGUAAAGUUCUGUUGUUAGGGAAGAACAUAUCAACAAGUGGAAAACGUUGAUACUGACGGUACCUAACUAGAAAGCCCCGGCUAAAUAUGUGCCAGCAGCCGCGGUAAUACAUAUGGGGCGAGCGUUAUCCGGAAUUAUUGGGCGUAAAGCGUGCGUAGGCGGUUUGUUAAGUCUGGUGUGAAAUUUCACGGCUUAACCGUGAAGGGUCAUUGGAAACUGGCAAACUUGAGUACGGUAGGGGUAAGUGGAAUUCCAAGUGGAGCGGUGGAAUGCGUAGAGAUUUGGAGGAACACCAGUGGCGAAGGCGGCUUACUGGGCCGGAACUGACGCUGAGGCACGAAAGCGUGGGGAGCAAACAGGAUUAGAUACCCCAGUAGUC